rnacentral:rRNA from 1 species
GAAUUUUGUUCUGGGCUCAGAUUGACGCUGGCGGCAGGCCUAACACAUGCAAGUCGAACGGUAACAGGAAGCAGCUUGCUGCUUCGCUGACGAGUGGCGGACGGGUGAGUAAUGUCUGGGAAACUGCCUGAUGGAGGGGGAUAACUACUGGAAACGGUGGCUAAUACCGCAUAACGUCGCAAGACCAAAGAGGGGGACCUUCGGGCCUCUUGCCAUCAGAUGUGCCCAGAUGGGAUUAGCUUGUUGGUGAGGUAACGGCUCACCAAGGCGACGAUCCCUAGCUGGUCUGAGAGGAUGACCAGCCACACUGGAACUGAGACACGGUCCAGACUCCUACGGGAGGCAGCAGUGGGGAAUAUUGCACAAUGGGCGCAAGCCUGAUGCAGCCAUGCCGCGUGUAUGAAGAAGGCCUUCGGGUUGUAAAGUACUUUCAGCGGGGAGGAAGGUGUUGUGGUUAAUAACCGCAGCAAUUGACGUUACCCGCAGAAGAAGCACCGGCUAACUCCGUGCCAGCCGCCGCGGUAAUU